rnacentral:rRNA from 1 species
CCUACGGGAGGCAGCAGUGAGGAAUAUUGGUCAAUGGACGCAAGUCUGAACCAGCCAUGCCGCGUGCAGGAUGACGGCUCUAUGAGUUGAAAACUGCUUUUGUAAGAGGGUAAACCCUGAGAUGUGUAUCGGGUUGAAAGUACCGUACGAAUAAGGAUCGGCUAACCCCGUGCCAGCAGCCGCGGUAAUACGGAGGAUACGAGCGUUAUCCGGAUUUAGUGGGAUUAAAGGGUACGUAGGCGGUUUGAUAAGUUAGAGGUGAAAUGUCGGGGCUCAACCCCGAAACUGCCUCUAAUACUGUUUGACUAGAGAAUAGUUGCGGUAGGCGGAAUGUAUGGUGUAGCGGUGAAAUGCGUAGAGAUCAUACGGAACACCGAUUGCGAAGGCAGCUUACCAAACUAUAUCUGACGUUGAGGCACGAAAGCGUGGGUAGCAAACAGGAUUAGAUACCCCAGUAGUC